AGUUUAAGGGCUGAUUUCACCAAUGUCGUAGUUAUCCGAGAAUAGCUAUACCAAGGAUAAACAUAUUCGCUUGAAUUUAAUCCCAGAUAACUCACUUUACAUUUCACCAUGUAAAACAUCCGAUAAACUAGUAUCAGAUUAGCUAUUCUUUGGAAUAGCCGUUUUGCUUAUCUGUGGAAGUGUAUAUUGAGUGAACGAACGAAUGAGUGUAUAAUGAAAACAAAUUAAAUGUGCAAUUUCUUUAAAGAACAUGAAGGUUAAAUGGAACUUUUUACUUUAGUUGGAUUAUACGUCAGUUUGAAGCUGUCAUGGAACCUACUUUGUAAUCUGUGGUCAGGUCAUAGAAGCUUUGUUUUGCCUGAGUGUUUAUUUUCGUUUUGAUUUGAAAGAAGAAAAUAAAUAACAGAAACAAUAUCGUUCAUGAUAAUGACCGAUAGAAAAAGAAGUCCUAACUGGCAAAUGCCAGAGAAGAUGUUACUGGUAGAUCUGAUAACUGACCAUUUUAAGAUAGUGGAAAACAAGCGUACCGACGCAGUAACCAUGAAAGAAAAAAAUGCUGAGUGGAUUAAAAUAUCCAAUGAAUUCAAUUCGCAAACCAGUUUCAGCCACAGAACCGCGGAAAAUUUAAAGGCACAAUGGGAAAGCUUAAAAAAAUUCACCAAAAAAGAAUCUGCUGCUGCAAGGCAGUACAUGAUUCAAACAGGUGGGGGACCUGCAAAGCCUAAAUCUGACGACCCGUUAUUUACCCGGAUCUUGGGUCUUAUUUCAACAGUUGCUGUUGGACUCGAAAAUCCAUAUGAUUGCGAUAAUUUUAUAUUGAAAGAAAAUGAAACAUUGGCUACAGUUAAAAUUUCAGAUGUAUCAGGCAUAUUUGUGCCGAACACCACUGUGACCAAGUCAACGCCUCUUGACUUGGAUAUUGAUGCUGCAAAUUUUACCUGCGAUAAUGAUAAAUCACAAGGUGACUGUGCUGCUGAUUGGGGAGACUACACCCCAAAGAUACUGCAAUCUCAGAAAUCUGCUCCUCUGCAUGCACAGUCAGUUCAGCCUGUGGUUCAGCCAGCUAAAUCGACGCCUCUUGCCUUGGAUAUGGAUAUUGAUGACUGUGCUUUAAUAUCUGUAGAGGAUGCUGGAAAUACCCCUCUCACUCAAAAGAAAAAUUGGAGCAGCAGACGCAGACCUACUUUACCGGUUUCUUCAACUUUAGAAGAGUUACAUAAAAUUAAAAUAAAACCUGUACAAAUGCAAAUGAAUUUUGCUGCUGAGGAGAGAGAGGAAGGAAAAAAAAAUUUGAAGUUGAAAUAAAAAUUAAAAAUGAAAUAUUAAAACGGGAGAAAAUCAAAACACGAAAUCUUUUUGCACAAAUGAAACAUCGAAGAAUAAAUAGAAAACCAACCUAAAAUAGGUUAUCUCAUUAGAUUUAAGUAUAUUGUUAUGUUAUAUUACAGACUUAACUUUAAUAAAAUUGUAGUUAAUAAAAUAAAUAUAAAUGAAAAAGUUGUUUCUUUAUUGUUUAGUUUUAUCUUAAAAUAAUAAAUUCUAUGAAUCCUGACAGCUGACAUGACAUGGCGGCCAUUUUUAACCAAGGAAUAUCUCCGUAUUCGUUCAAAAUUGGGCGUAUAAAUCUUAUCCUUGGAAUAACGUUUUAUUCUCAGGUUAAGUAGUUGGUGAAAUGUAAAAUUUGCUAUUCCAGGGUUAAUUCCUUGGAAUAAAACUUAUCUGAGUUUGGUGAAAUUAGCCCUAAAUAAGAAG